CGGACAAUUCCAACAGAGAUCACGACGACACACUGAGCCAGAGGUCAGAAGAAGCCAAACUACUUUCCGCUGUCCUAUCCUGUCUCUUCACAUCACAGCAGACAAAGAACAGGAGGCAAGUGCACCCACCAGUCAUCCUCAGACAGUCUCGUGUCACAGCCCCCGUACUGCUUGUCUGGCUCUCCACCAUUCAGAGCCUCUGUGUCACGCCCC